rnacentral:tRNA from 1 species
CACGCUAGACCGAUCCUCACUAAGGUAGCUGACUUGUAAUCAGUAGGUCCCGGGUUCGACUCCUGGUGCCGGCACCA